AUUGAACGCUGGCGGCAGGCCUAACACAUGCAAGUCGAGCGGAUGAAGGGGGCUUGCUCCUGGAUUCAGCGGCGGACGGGUGAGUAAUGCCUAGGAAUCUGCCUUGUAGUGGGGGAUAACGUCCGGAAACGGGCGCUAAUACCGCAUACGUCCUGAUGUAGAAAGUGGGGGAUCUUGGGACCUCACGCUAUCAGAUGAGCCUAGGUCGGUUUAGCGAGUUGGUGGGGUAAAGGCCUACCAAGGCGACUAUCCGUAACUGGUCUGAGAGGAUGAUCAGUCACACUGGAACUGAGACACGGUCCCGACUCCUACGGGAGGCAGCAGUGGGGAAUAUUGGACAAUGGGCGAAAGCCUGAUACAGCCAUGCCGCGUGUGUGAAGAAGGUCUUCGGAUUGUAAAGCAAUUUAAGUUGGGAGGAAGGGCAGUAAGUUAAUACCUUGCUGUUUUGACGUUACCAACAGAAUAAGCACCGGCUAACUUCGUG
rnacentral:rRNA from 1 species